CCUACGGGGGGCAGCAGUGGGGAAUAUUGCACAAUGGGCGCAAGCCUGAUGCAGCCAUGCCGCGUGUGUGAAGAAGGCCUUCGGGUUGUAAAGCACUUUCAGCGGGGAGGAAGGCGUUAAGGUUAAUAACCUUGGCGAUUGACGUUACCCGCAGAAGAAGCACCGGCUAACUCCGUGCCAGCAGCCGCGGUAAUACGGAGGGUGCAAGCGUUAAUUGGAAUUACUGGGCGUAAAGCGCACGCAGGCGGUCUGUCAAGUCGGAUGUGAAAUCCCCGAGCUCAACCUAGGAACUGCAUUCGAAACUGGCAGGCUAGAGUCUUGUAGAGGGGGGUAGAAUUCCAGGUGUAGCGGUGAAAUGCGUAGAGAUCUGGAGGAAUACCGGUGGCGAAGGCGGCCCCCUGGACAAAGACUGACGCUCAGGUGCGAAAGCGUGGGGAGCAAACAGGAUUAGAUACCCGUGUAGUC
rnacentral:rRNA from 1 species